UGAUCCAGCCAUGCCGCGUGAGUGAUGAAGGCCCUAGGGUUGUAAAGCUCUUUCAACGGUGAAGAUAAUGACGGUAACCGUAGAAGAAGCCCCGGCUAACUUCGUGCCAGCAGCCGCGGUAAUACGAAGGGGGCUAGCGUUGUUCGGAAUUACUGGGCGUAAAGCGCACGUAGGCGGAUUGUUAAGUUAGGGGUGAAAUCCCAGGGCUCAACCCUGGAACUGCCUUUAAUACUGGCAAUCUCGAGUCCGAGAGAGGUGAGUGGAAUUCCGAGUGUAGAGGUGAAAUUCGUAGAUAUUCGGAGGGACACCAGUGGCGAAGGCGGCUCACUGGCUCGGUAACUGA
rnacentral:rRNA from 1 species